rnacentral:rRNA from 1 species
UGGGGAAUAUUGGACAAUGGGCGAAAGCCUGAUCCAGCCAUGCCGCGUGUGUGAAGAAGGUCUUCGGAUUGUAAAGCACUUUAAGUUGGGAGGAAGGGCAGUAAGCGAAUACCUUGCUGUUUUGACGUUACCGACAGAAUAAGCACCGGUUAACUCUGUGCCAGCAGCCGCGGUAAUACAGAGGGUGCAAGCGUUAAUCGGAAUUACUGGGCGUAAAGCGCGCGUAGGUGGUUCGUUAAGUUGAAUGUGAAAGCCCCGGGCUCAACCUGGGAACUGCAUCCAAAACUGGCGAGCUAGAGUAGGGCAGAGGGUGGUGGAAUUUCCUGUGUAGCGGUGAAAUGCGUAGAUAUAGGAAGGAACACCAGUGGCGAAGGCGACCACCUGGGCUCAUACUGACACUGAGGUGCGAAAGCGUGGGGAGCAAACAGG